UGCCAUAUUUUUGCAAGCCCAUUACAGAUGAGCAUAAGCUGUGCUAUAACUUUCGGCAGAAACCCUCGUCUCGGCUACCAGCUUACUACCUCAGCGCAUAGUUUUGAUAAUGGAACUCUCGGAUCCGGCAAGUACUCUGAGGGUUGCAGGGAUUCUGUGCACGUUUGUGGCUGCAUUUGAAGUCUUCAACCUGAAGUCGCUAUCUUCACAAAAACUAAAGCAGUGUACCAUCAUAGACACAGCGUAUGGGGUGAUGUGCGCUGGGGCAAUCGCAGUCUUGUUAUUGCGCGGCUAUGAGCUCCUGAAAAUUGACUGUCGCUGUUUGACUGCGGAAAUCUCGUGGAAGGAAGUCGUUAUGCUUAUCAUCUCUAUCAUUACAACUGUGUUCCCAUGCAUUCUAUUUUUUCUGCGGCGAUAUCAUGACGGGGGCGCUCCAGGCACCGUUUGCGUGGUUCAUGGCAUCAUGUUCACUGCUUUCAUCAGUGAUCUUUUACUUGCUGUGACAACGUGU